rnacentral:lncRNA from 1 species
UGCUUUACACCGAAACCCUAGCCUGUUUCUUCCUUUGGCUUGAAGCUUCUACCAUACGCUUUCCUGAAAUCCUGAUGUAUCAUACGCUUAUUCUUCUUCUUCUUCUACCUGCAUCUCAUUCUCUCUGAAUCACUUGUGCUUGAAUGGCUUAACAAAGGAUUCCAAAAUCAAGGUUAUUCACUUCCAGGUAUCCCCAUUCUAAACCCUAGCCUCCCUUUCCUCUUUCUUCUAGAUUAAUCAUCGCAAUCUUCACCACUGAUUAAGGAUCAAGUAGAUGUUGAUCAAUCACUACAAAAAUGAAUACAUAUAUGUGAUUCGACUAAAGGAAGAUGGUGACGUUGGUGGUGGUCUGAAGAGAAAUGACGACGACAGUGGUUGAUUUAGGGUUUCUUCAGUUCGGGUAGUGAUGGUUGAUUUAGGGAUUGUGAAAUCGAUUCUCUCCGGCUCCUCUCUGCCUCAACCGAUACUAGGGUUUUGCCAUUGAUUGUUUUUUUAGGGAGGUCAGAUUGGUAACUGAUGCUACUGAACUACUGUGGUAGCCUUUACAGAAAUCUUUAUAUUGUAAAUUAGUUUGAAUUUGGGCCAAGUUCAAUGUGUCCAUUAGCUCGAGUAAAUACCCGAGACCGAUUUUAUCAAGAUAUUAAGACUGAUGACCGACAUGCUAUGUUAGAGCCUGGUGAGCUUAACUAUGCAGAAGAUCGCAUUUAGAUAUACAUAACAAUGGGAGCUCAUGAGCGUCGUGUUGGUUUCAUGUACCGAGAGGGGUUCUCUAAAGUAAGCUACUGCAUUUUUUAGAAAUUAAAAGGGUAAAUUGAUGUUUGGGUUGACCCAUGUGUUCCCUAAGUUAUGUUUAUUGCUAUUUAGUAUAUAGGAUGAAAGAUGUUGUAAUCUAUCAAUUAGCUUAUCAUAUACUGUUGAAACUUUCAG